rnacentral:lncRNA from 1 species
UUUCUUUCUUUCUUUCUUUUCUUUCUUCUUUCUUUCUUUCUUUCUUCCCCUAAAUCCAGAGCCCAGUUAUUUACCCAAAGAAAACAGGGAAGUGACAAGGUAACAGAGUACACAUGUUGUGAAAAUAUGCAGGCUGAGGCUGAAGGAAAGAAAACAUUCUUCCAUAAGUAGCUGCCUUGUUAAUUCAUUUUCUUCCCCAGAUUAGAACCAGCCAUUUCUUGUGCUCCUGCAAGCACCUUCUGUGGUUUCCUGACAGCUGCCUGCAAGGGGUGAGAUUUGGCUUGAAAAAUGGGCCAUCGGUCAUGCUUCAGGGGGAGGGCAGAAACCAAAAUUCCCAGAUUGCUCAAGUUCACUGCUCCCUUUCUAGAUGGGAACGAAAGAGGGAGAGGUGGUGGGGAGAGGACUGUAUAAACGCUGAGGCGUCACCUGAUUUUCCAUAAGAAAUGACAGCUCAGUAAUGAACAGUCCUUGGGACGUGCUUUCUUACCUCCUCUGAAAUUAGUUUCCAAUCCUUGGCAAGGCUGCACGCUGUAGCCUUGAGCAACAGCCACAGGCCGAUUCUCGGCAAUUAAAAAUAUUACUGGCCCUGAUAGAGAGUUCUUGGGUACCCCCCUCCCCGACACAUACAUACACACCCUUUUCAUUAUGUGCCAAAGAUCACUUUUCAAACCUGUUUCAGAACAGCUGCCUGCAUUCGAGAAGCAGACUCCGGCUCUACAUACCCUGAGUGGCCUGGGAAGGGGCUGGGGUUAUUAAUAGCAUUUGCUCUGCCUGGUGUUUGGGAUGGAAAAGGGGUGACCUAUGUCCUUUCAGAAAGUUGGGCCAUAAUCAGUUUGGGGCUCAAUUUUUCUUCACUGGGUCCUUGAGACAUCAGGGUUGGCAGAGAAUGGUGGGGAAAGCCUCCAGCGGGGCUUGCUGUGGCCAGCACCCCUCUGGUACAGAUCUUCAUGCUUCUCAUUUUUUCCCUCCUUAAUGUACUCUGUCUCUUUUUCAACCUGUGGGUGUUGGUCCGUGGCUUCUCCAGGCUCCUCUCAGGAGAGGUCAUACCACAGAGGCCUGGACUGCCCCUGUGAGCACUGCUGUGGCCCUUUCUGAUAACAGGAGGCCUCUGGAGCUUGGCGAUCUAACCCGGCGUGGGACAGGCCUGUGAGAAAGAAUGUGGCAUGGUCCUCUUUCCCAGAGAGGAGGCCAGUCCAGGCCUGAGCAGGGGAGCUCUGGUUGGAGGAGCCUUCCCACCCAGUACUUACAGCCACAGAGUUCGUCAGCUUCCCACCACCAGCACCCAGCAGCCUUAACCUCAGGGUGGGUGGAAAUCCGACUGUCUCCCCACAUGGCUUGCCACUACCGCAUGGCACCGUCCCAAGAGCCCAGGAGAGGGCUGAACUUCAGGCCUGGAAUGGUCUUAAUGAUCAAACUGGGUUGAAGAGGAAGUGGAAAACUUAGAGAUUGAGGUGGAUUGUGGGACUUAGGAUAGGGUUUGGUCUCCAGGUUGAUGGCUCCUGUUGACAGAGCUGGUAAGCAGAAGGCACUUGCAAUCAGAACCCAUGGCCUAGGGCAGCCCAGGGGGCUCAGCGGUUUAGCGCCACCUUCAGCCCAGGGUGUGAUCCUGGAGACCCGGGAUCGAGUCCCACAUCAGGCUCCCUGCAUGGAGCCUGCUUUUCCAUCUGCCUAUGUCUCUGCCUCCGCCCUCCCCCCAUAAAUAAAUAAUAAAUAAAAUCUUAAAAAAAAAAAAAAAAAGAAGAA